AGAAAGAGGUCUCUGAGAGGAGAAAAAGAAAAGAACGAACUCCUCCCUCCAGGACCAAUCCAUCUCCUCCAAGGAAGUCGAGGCGACACUCUCCCAGGCGACGAACUCCUCCGCGCCGGAGAUUUUAUUCUGGGGAGUCUUCCCGGGUUCGAUACAAUUAUUCUUCCACCCGGGAGACGCAACUGCCGGGGUACCAAGGUGCACACCCUCGGAAUUAUGGGUCCAAGUUCCUUCUGACCCCUGACACGGAUACCGCCCGGACUACACUGCGGGCUAUCUCUGGGUAUCCGAUGGACCGUACUGUUGAAGAGAUAGGGCAGAAC
rnacentral:lncRNA from 1 species